CCUACGGGAGGCUGCAGUGAGGAAUAUUGGUCAAUGGACGAGAGUCUGAACCAGCCAAGUAGCGUGAAGGAUGACUGCCCUAUGGGUUGUAAACUUCUUUUAUAUGGGAAUAAAAUGUUCCCCGUGUGGGCUUUUGUAUGUCCCAUAUGAAUAAGGAUCGGCUAACUCCGUGCCAGCAGCCGCGGUAAUACGGAGGAUCCGAGCGUUAUCCGGAUUUAUUGGGUUUAAAGGGAGCGUAGGUGGAUUGUUAAGUCAGUUGUGAAAGUUUGCGGCUCAACCGUAAAAUUGCAGUUGAAACUGGCAGUCUUGAGUACAGUAGAGGUGGGCGGAAUUCGUGGUGUAGCGGUGAAAUGCUUAGAUAUCACGAAGAACUCCGAUUGCGAAGGCAGCUCACUGGACUGCAACUGACACUGAGGCUCGAAAGUGUGGGUAUCAAACAGGAUUAGAUACCCUUGUAGUC
rnacentral:rRNA from 1 species